CAAGUAUAAAAGCAAUAUAUGGGAUUAUCUACUCAAAAGGGGCUCCAAUUUGUUUUUUAGCUCUCAGUAUUCAAAAUAAGCAUCUUUAUUCUCCUGGGUGUGGCCAUGUGGGAAAAAAAAAACGAAUAGAAGUAGCAAAGAGAGAGAUAUGGGAAUAGUUUAAGGCAUAAUUUUCCUUUGGAUGGCGCCUAACUUUAAGAAAGA